rnacentral:piRNA from 1 species
UCAAUAUCUGAAUAUGAAAGAGUGCUAU